CUAGCAUAUCAAUAAGCGGAGGAAAAGAAACUAACAAGGAUUCCCCUAGUAACUGCGAGUGAAGCGGGAAAAGCUCAAAUUUAAAAUCUGGCAGUCUUUGGCUGUCCGAGUUGUAAUCUAGAGAAGUGUUAUCCGCGCUGGACCGUGUACAAGUCUCCUGGAAUGGAGCGUCAUAGAGGGUGAGAAUCCCGUCUUUGACACGGACUACCAGGGCUUUGUGAUGCGCUCUCAAAGAGUCGAGUUGUUUGGGAAUGCAGCUCAAAAUGGGUGGUAAAUUCCAUCUAAAGCUAAAUAUUGGCGAGAGACCGAUAGCGAACAAGUACCGUGAGGGAAAGAUGAAAAGAACUUUGGAAAGAGAGUUAAACAGUACGUGAAAUUGCUGAAAGGGAAACGCUUGAAGUCAGUCGCGUCGUCCAGGGAUCAACCUUGCUUUUGCUUGGUGCACUUUCUGGUUGACGGGUCAGCAUCAAUUUUGACCAUUGGAAAAAUAUCAAGGGAAUGUGACAUCUUUGGAUGUGUUAUAGCCCUUGGUUGUAUACGAUGGUUGGGAUUGAGGAACUCAGCACGCCGCAAGGCCGGGUUUUUAACCACGUACGUGCUUAGGAUGCUGGCAUAAUGGCUUUAAUCGACCCGUCUUGAAACACGGACCAAGGAGUCUAACAUGCCUGCGAGUGUUUGGGUGGAAAACUCGAGCGCGUAAUGAAAGUGAAAGUUGAGAUCCCUGUCGUGGGGAGCAUCGACGCCCGGACCAGACCUUUUGUGACGGUUCCGCGGUAGAGCAUGUAUGUUGGGACCCGAAAGAUGGUGAACUAUGCCUGAAUAGGGUGAAGCCAGAGGAAACUCUGGUGGAGGCUCGUAGCGAUUCUGACGUGCAAAUCGAUCGUCAAAUUUGGGUAUAGGGGCGAAAGACUAAUCGAACCAUCUAGUAGCUGG
rnacentral:rRNA from 1 species